CUUGCUGAUUUGCUGACGAGUGGCGGACGGGUGAGUAAUGUCUGGGAAACUGCCUGAUGGAGGGGGAUAACAGUUGGAAACGGCUGCUAAUACCGCAUAAGCGCACAGUACCGCAUGGUACGGUGUGAAAAACUCCGGUGGUGUGAGAUGGGCCCGCGUCUGAUUAGGUAGUUGGUGCGGUAACGGCGCACCAAGCCGACGAUCAGUAGCCGACCUGAGAGGAUGUCCGGCCACAUUGGAACUGAGACACGGUCCAGACUCC
rnacentral:rRNA from 1 species